rnacentral:rRNA from 1 species
GACGAACGCUGGCGGCGUGCUUAACACAUGCAAGUCGAACGGUAAGGCCCUUCGGGGUACACGAGUGGCGAACGGGUGAGUAACACGUGUGUGAUCUGCCCUGCACUUCGGGAUAAGCCUGGGAAACUGGGUCUAAUACCGGAUAGGACCACUGCCUGCAUGGGUGGUGGUGGAAAGCUUUUGCGGUGUGGGAUGGGCCCGCGGCCUAUGAGCUUGUUGGUGGGGUGAUGGCCUACCAAGGCGACGACGGGUAGCCGGCCUGAGAGGGUGACCGGCCACACUGGGACUGAGAUACGGCCCAGACUCCUACGGGAGGCAGCAGUGGGGAAUAUUGCACAAUGGGCGCAAGCCUGAUGCAGCGACGCCGCGUGAGGGAUGACGGCCUUCGGGUUGUAAACCUCUUUCAGCACCGACGAAGCGCAAGUGACGGUAGGUGCAGAAGAAGGACCGGCCAACUACGUGCCAGCAGCCGCCGUAA